rnacentral:rRNA from 1 species
UACGUAGGAGGCAAGCGUUGUCCGGAAUUACUGGGCGUAAAGCGCGUGUAGGUGGUGGGACAAGUCUGCUGUGAAAGUGCCUGGCUUAACCGGGCGAGGUCGGCGGAAACUGUCCGACUCGAGGACGGUAGAGGGGGGUGGAAUUCCCGGUGUAGUGGUGAAAUGCGUAGAGAUCGGGAGGAACACCUGUGGCGAAGGCGGCCCCCUGGGCCGGCACUGACACUGAGACGCGAAGGCGUGGGGAGCGAACGGG